GAUGAACGCUGGCGGCGUGCCUAAUACAUGCAAGUCGAGCGAAUGGAUUAAGAGCUUGCUCUUAUGAAGUUAGCGGCGGACGGGUGAGUAACACGUGGGUAACCUGCCCAUAAGACUGGGAUAACUCCGGGAAACCGGGGCUAAUACCGGAUAACAUUUUGAACCGCAUGGUUCGAAGUUGAAAGGCGGCUUCGGCUGUCACUUAUGGAUGGACCCGCGUCGCAUUAGCUAGUUGGUGAGGUAACGGCUCACCAAGGCAACGAUGCGUAGCCGACCUGAGAGGGUGAUCGGGCACACUGGGACUGAGACAAGGCCCAGACUCCUACGGGAGGCAGCGGUAGGGAAUCUUCCGCAAUGGACGAAAGUCUGACGGAGCAACGCCGCGUGAGUGAUGAAGGCUUUCGGGUCGUAAAACUCUGUUGUUAGGGAAGAACAAGUGCUAGUUGAAUAAGCUGGCACCUUGACGGUACCUAACCAGAAAGCCACGGCUAACUACGUGCCAGCCGCCGCAGUAA
rnacentral:rRNA from 1 species